rnacentral:rRNA from 1 species
UACGGGGGGAGCAAGCGUUGUUCGGAUUUACUGGGCGUAAAGGGCGCGUAGGCGGCCACCGCAAGUCGGAUGUGAAAUCUCUGGGCUUAACCCAGAAAGGUCAACCGAUACUGCGGGGCUAGAGUGCAGAAGGGGCAACUGGAAUUCUCGGUGUAGCGGUGAAAUGCGUAGAUAUCAAGAGGAACACCUGAGGCGAAGGCGGGUUGCUAGGCUGACACUGACGCUGAAGCGCGAAAGCUAGGGUAGCAAACGGG